AAUGCCAAAGUGAGGAAAUGUGUGUCUGGAUCAUACUCCAAGUGAUUUUAAUAUUUUGGUUUAACAUAUGUAGAAAUUGUCAUUUAGAUGAACUGGAGUCGAAGCUCUGUCCGGAAAUGUUGAAGAAAUUGUCUAUUGGAUAAACUGGAGUCGAAGUUAUAUCUGAAAAUGUUGAUGAUGGUUGUUUGAAAUUGGUCUUGAACGAUGUGUGGGAAGUUCAGGAAGGCUUCAUUAGAUCAAUGCCAAGAUUUUGUCAAUUAGAUGAUCUGGAGUCGAAGUUGUAUCUGGAAUUGUCUGAUAGAUAGUCUGGAAAAGGUCGUGAACGAAGUGUGGGAGAUUCACUCAUUCAUAUUAAUGUCAAA